AACCUUUCGAUUGUAACUGGGACAAUUUGCAUAGUGAUUCCCUUUCAGAGCCUUCCCGGGCCCGUAACGAGCGCAGGCAGCUAUUCAAAUGCAAGUUGCGUUCCCAAACGCGCGGCCGGCCUGAGCCAAAGCCAGCGGCUCGGCGGACGCCGGGCGAGCCGAGAGCGGCGCUCGGGUUCUGGGGUCACCUCCCUUCUCCGGGCUCCUCCCGGGCUCUCCGGUUCCUGAAUUAGCCGUUCGUCCACGGCUACAGACGCGUGUGUGCCAGCGAGCCAGCGCGGCGAGGGAGGGGACUGAGCCCUACCGGGAUCAAAGCUGGAGCCGAAGGAGAGGCGAAGCCGCCCAAAACCUUGUCGCAUGUCCCCCAGCAACCCGCCCGCGACAUCCGCCAACGCCAAGGCGCGCAGACAGACUCGCCCUUCGCCAUAGCAUGUAGCCACAGCAAAUUAUUGCUCAUUUGAUACCCAGAAUUCUAUUGACCACGGCUUUCGUCGGAGAGAGAAUUCUAACUACGGGCUCCUCCAGGCUCAGAACUGAGGUUGGAAACAAGCGAAUCCAGCCCUGACCAGCAGGAACGGAUGGAGAUGUGACAUGGAGACACGUGGGCAGGCAUAGAAACCUGCUUUUUACUCUGCCUGCUCUGCCCUCCCCCCAAUUCGGGGGUGGGGGAAGUUGACCCCUUUGGAAUAGAUUUGCUCACUUGGAAGGCUGGAUGUUCGUUUGGCAUGUUCUUUCCGGCUCUAACCAGGAUGAGGAAGAAAAGGAGACAAUGGAAGAUUGCUCCUCAGGCUAUUGGUCAAAGCUGGCCCAAGGUGGAACUGCCUGAAGAAACACUGAACAAAAGAUUUCUUGACUUUGCUAUAUGAAUAUCAUCUCCUAAAUUUCCACCCCCUCUCACUCUUUCAAAGACUGUACAGCAUUACAGAGUGGCUAGGGAGGAGUCGGCAUUCUGAGAUCUGAGUCUGGCUGGCAGUUGACAACCGGCCUCCAUGACAAGAGCCAUGUUCAACCGUGUGGCCAAGGCGCCUCUGCAUAGGAGGCACCACAAAGACCAGAGAAUAUCUCAUAUCUGACCUUUGAGCCUGGAACUCAUGGCUCCAGGGUUGCUGGGGAGAGGUUGCUUCUCCCCAAAAUGAGGCUGGAGAAGACUUUGCCCUGGAGGGCAGCGGGAAAGGCCAGGUGGGUUCCUCCAGAAGCUGGUCUAGGAUUUUGCCUUACAGUUUGCAAGGAGUUGAUGCUGCACCCAAGUAGGAGACCCAAAGGCUUGCCCUGCCAAUGCCCAUCUCCUUCCUGGCCUAGAGAGGGGCCCACACCUCACCUGCCUCACCGCCUCUAUCUGGGAGAAAGCCACCCCAACUCAAAAGAGAGCAAGUCCACCUGGGUCAGACCACAGAACCUGUCAGACUUCCAAGGAGCCAGCAAUUCAUACCCUACUCUUCCUUCAGUCCUGACACCUGGAGCGUUUAUGGAGGAGAUGGCUGGCAGGAGAUGCAUUUCUACAAAUACUAGGAGCUAAAUAAACCCUCCAGGCUGGUUUCCAGACAAGCAACAGGAACAACAAAAAGAAGCAAUUAAAGAUUUUUCUAAAUGAGUCCCAGCGUGUGCCGCCUGGCUCUGAACCUGAAGGUGUAUUUAAGCUCUAAGGGACCUGGCUGGGUAGCUUUUCUUUCUUUCUUUCUUUCUUUUUUCCUAGUGGUACUGCUAAAUGCCUGUGAAGCCACGUUGUCUCAGAACAAGGCAGUGGAAAUGUAGGCGUGGGCACUGUAGACAACGUUCACAGCCUCGAGUGUGGGAGAAGUGGAGAAGCUGCGGUAGAUUUGGGACACUCAGCUUGAAGAUGAUGGAAGCGUGGAGGGAGAUUCAUGGUGGCUCUUUCGGUUUUCUUUUUCCUGUAGAUUUUAACACAAACAAAACCCGGCUGUUGAUGCAAUCGUAGCAUGUUCAGUAUAGUAUAUUCCUCAAGUAUACUCACAGCCGCUACACGUGAAAACAAUCUAGCCUAGGCUGGUGUGGAAACAGACAAACACGUUGCUGAUCCCAGCACAAGCUCUGAAAACAAAAACAAACAAACAAACAAGCAAACAAAACCCCACACACUGACAGGGAAGAGGAGACUGACUCCAAGCAGUCCUUCCUAGACGGGUAGGUGGCUGAGUGCUGGGGCCUUUGAGUCCAAAGAAAGCAAUCUAGAUCUCCCUGAACUGAGAGUUACCUUGGCAAACAAGACUUGAGACCUGGGGUGAGGUCAUAUUGGGGUCACCCAGCCCGCCUUUGGAGCCACGUCUGAGCUGAGAACUUCUAAGCUGGACUCAGUUGCUUCCGACUGGAGAUUGGGAAAUCUCUUUCCCUGGCUUGUGGAGCGGCAGUCAAGUCCUGAGUUAGGAUGCCGCCACCUCUCCGGGGGAGGUGGGUGGGGGCUCCUGGCCGUAGCACUGCACUUCCCAGCUGCCUUAACCCCACCCCCACCCCACCCCCACCCCGUGUUGCCAGGUAAAUGAAACACAAAAGAGCUCAAUAGUAAAUUAUUUUGUUCAGCCUUCUGUCUUUUUAUGAAAAUAAAAGCCAACACUUUGUCAUUUUUAAUCGCAUAAGCAGACAAUAAAUCUAAUUUCGAUAUUGAUUUUUUUUUCUAGAAUCAAGUGAUUUUUUUUUCUUUUGCAGUCUGUUGUGUUUCCUUUCUGAAAGGCUCAUUGCUUGUGGACCCUGUGGUGACGAGGCCCGUGGAUCCUGUGUUUGUGUGCGGGAACGGGGGCAGGCGCCUCUGAAACACGAAGUUCGCUGGGGACCUGAAAAGAGAUUUUUUUUUUUCCUCAGUAGCAGGAAGUUUGGCUUUGGUCUAACUCUCCGGAGAUCGGUUUCACCUUAACCACCUGAAGUAGAACGAAGGCUCAUCUGGAUAGUUGAGUGGUUACAGCUUCUGAGAUUCGUUUUAGUUUUCCCUUUAAUUAACAAAAUAAAGUAAAAUACAAAAAAUAAUAAUAAUCACGGAGAAGUCUUGCUGAUAUCAGGAAUUCGACGUGACACUGCGGG